rnacentral:rRNA from 1 species
UACGUAGGGUGCGAGCGUUGUCCGGAAUUACUGGGCGUAAAGAGCUCGUAGGCGGUCUGUCGCGUCUGCUGUGAAAACUCGGGGCUUAACCCCGGGCCUGCAGUGGGUACGGGCAGACUAGAGUGCGGUAGGGGAGACUGGAAUUCCUGGUGUAGCGGUGAAAUGCGCAGAUAUCAGGAGGAACACCGGUGGCGAAGGCGGGUCUCUGGGCCGUAACUGACGCUGAGGAGCGAAAGCGUGGGGAGCAAACAGG